UACGGAGGAUCCGAGCGUUAUCCGGAUUUAUUGGGUUUAAAGGGUGCGUAGGCGGUCUUAUAAGUCAGCGGUGAAAGUUUGCAGCUUAACUGUAAAAUUGCCGUUGAAACUGUUAGUCUUGAGUGUAAAUGAGGUAGGCGGAAUUUGUGGUGUAGCGGUGAAAUGCUUAGAUAUAAGACGGAACACCAAUUGCGAAGGCAGCUUACUGGGAUACAACUGACGCUGAGGCACGAAAGCGUGGGGAUCAAACAGG
rnacentral:rRNA from 1 species